rnacentral:rRNA from 1 species
UACAGAGGUCCCGAGCGUUGUUCGGAUUCAUUGGGCGUAAAGGGUGCGUAGGCGGCGCGGUCAGUCUGGUGUGAAAUCCCCGGGCUCAACCCGGGAACUGCAUUGGAUACUGCCGUGCUAGAGUACUGGAGAGGGAACUGGAAUUUACGGUGUAGCAGUGAAAUGCGUAGAGAUCGUAAGGAAGGCCAGUGGCGAAGGCGAGUCCCUGGACAGUGACUGACGCUGAGGCACGAAGGCCAGGGGAGCAAACGGG